rfam:Bacillus sp. SA2-6 scf7180000001094, whole genome shotgun sequence.
AUGUGCGGACGGGAUAAGUGCUGAAAGCAUCUAAGCAUGAAGCCCCCCUCAAGAUGAGAUUUCCCAUAGCGUCAAGCUAGUAAGAUCCCUGAGAGAUGAUCAGGUUGAUAGGUCAGAGGUGGAAGCGCGGUGACGUGUGGAGCUGACUGAUACUAAUCGAUCGAGGACUUAACCUA